GAGGGUCUAGCUCACUGGUAGAGUGUGUGCUUAGCAUGCAUGAGUUCCUGGCUUCAAUCCCCAGCACCUCCA
rnacentral:tRNA from 1 species